rnacentral:rRNA from 1 species
GAUGAACGCUGGCGGCGUGCCUAAUACAUGCAAGUCGAGCGAACGGACGAGAAGCUUGCUUUUCUGAUGUUAGCGGCGGACGGGUGAGUAACACGUGGAUAACCUACCUGUGAGUCUGGGAUCACUUCGGGAAACCGGAGCUAAUACCGGAUAAUAUUUUGAACCGCAUGGUUCAAAAGUGAAAGACGGUCUUGCUGUCACUUAUAGAUGGAUCCGCGCUGCAUUAGCUAGUUGGUAAGGUAACGGCUUACCAAGGCAACGAUGCAUAGCCGACCUGAGAGGGUGAUCGGCCACACUGGAACUGAGACACGGUCCAGACUCCUACGGGAGGCAGCAGUAGGGAAUCUUCCGCAAUGGGCGAAAGCCUGACGGAGCAACGCCGCGUGAGUGAUGAAGGUCUUCGGAUCGUAAAACUCUGUUAUUAGGGAAGAACAUAUGUGUAAGUAACUGUGCACAUCUUGACGGUACCUAAUCAGAAAGCCACGGCUAACUACGUG